GCGUCUUAGUGCAAGAGCAAACUGCAUGGAGGAAAUUGAUUGCUUAUAUCCAUUCGUCCUUUUUCCAGACUAUCCCAGUUGACCGCAGCACAGACUGGCCUCUAGUCAAUCACAGCACAGCACAACCAUUCACGCUUACAUUAUACUGUCACCGAGUGGGAACCCAGAGACACUGAAUGCGUGAAAGUCAGGAAACUGAACCACUAGACCAUCAGUGGCUGGGAAAUAAGGAUUGGUGAUGUCAUCCAUGUAAACUGAGGACACCGAAGGCCUCUUCUCCUGGUUUUAGUGUGCCACGAUGACAUCUAGUGGUCGCAAAACACACACACACACACACUCACACACACACACACGUUGGGGGUUUUUUUUCAUCUGGGGUGGGAAAUAGAAAUGUAAAUCCGCAGUAAAGCAUGAAGAAUCCUGCAGUCUUUUGGGUUCGUGACAUCAACAUGAUGACAGUGACCCGACAACCUGCAAGCACCAUAGGAACAAGGCAACACAAAGCUUUAAGGAUGUCACCACCAAAGCGUCGCACGGCGUCAAAACAUAAAGGUGGCUCAAUGAGGUCACAAGGUGCCACAAAGAGGUUUGACCCGUGUCUGGUCGUACAAGUGUGUCAAACCAAGGAAAAUGGAGGGAAUCUUGAAACUGUUAAACCUUACAUGCCGUAAAUUUCUCUAUUUUGUAUGAGACAAAGGUAACAGUGUUGAAGAGUGAACUUUAAACAGUCCCAAGAACUGUCUUGUGUUUCCACCACAUUUCCACGUUCCCUCGGAAACAUGCUCCUGUUGGUCUACGGAGGGUCAUGGGGUAACGUCAAAACAGUAAAUGAGUCCAAGUCAUAUGCAUGUGUAUUCUUACGCCGUUCACAGAGGAGCUUGAAACAGUCCCGAGAACUGUCUGUGCAACCACCGCAUUUGUGUAGGUUCCAACGGAAACAGGCAGCUGGUGGUCUUUGAAGGGUCAUGGGGGAAUCUCGAAACAGUGGAAGAUAAGAAUGGCCACUCAUCAUAAACAUAAGGAAGGAACAGAAGUCAUAUACCGAGGUCAGAGGCUGCCUUGACGCAGGCACGAAAUCUGCAGCUGCAAUGUAGCAAAUCAAAACACACUUUCGCUUUUCUCUGAAACAUUCAUUAAGGAUUAAUCAUUCAUGCUCUACUGUCACUUAAGCGAUAUUGAAAAGCUUUGCAGUUCAUAAUUUGAUAUACGAUAUUCCCUAACCCUAUAUCGCGGUUGACCUAUUGCGGAUUCAGUGCGUUGCAAAUUCUUUUUUGCCUGAUUUUUUAUUUGUGGUCAAAUAAAUACCUCCCAGCCUGAAACAUUACAUUGUUAAAAGAAAAAAAGAAGAACAUUUCAUUAAACAUAUUACAAGGAAUAAAACAUGCAUGUACAGUACUACUUUGCCUUACUGUAGGUUUAAGAGUUUAAAAGGUGUUUUAAGAGUAUAAAAAGUGUUUGUAAGAGUAUGGUAGCGGUUUAUUGGAUUGUGGGGAAGAUUCAUAAGCAUCUGGGGAGGAUCAUAUAGCUUUAAAAUAUUUGUAAUCCAAAAAAGGUGGCCGCUACCUCGCGGAUUUCACUUGUUGCAGUACUGUAGACAAUCAUUAUGGGGAUAAUCUUGCCCCGUGUAAUAGAGGUUCAUAGAGGUUACGCUUAACCGUCAUACAACUGCUUUGUAACUGAAACACCAUUAUUUUAAAAUAUUGAUCACACAUUUUCUCAUACUUUCACCAAUAGCGUUUCAUGGUUUUAAAACAUAGUUGUUGUUUUUUUUAAAUUUGUGUAUUAUUUUUUUGUACAGCACAGCACAUUCCAAUGGACAAUCUUGAAUAUUGAAGGGAACAUUUGUCUUAGAAACCAGACAACUAGCAACCCUUUAUUGCUCAGUUACUGUUUUUUUUGUCAACGUCUUUAUGUCUCAAAAGUGUUCUCUGUCAAUUGACUUGUCUGUUGUCGCACUAGAGCGGCUCCAACUACCGGAGACAAAUUCCUUGUGUGUUUUUCUGGACAUACUUGGCAAAUAAAGAUGAUUCUGAUUCUGAUGCCUUUGCACUUAUACAAUGUAUCCUUUGUUAAUUAUAAUAUUAUAUCAUAUUUUGGUUUCGUGCAAGGAUAAGAAAGCAGACCUUGUCCCUCUCACUUUGCUGUGAGACAAAGCAAGAUGUCUGCGGUUGAGGGUCCCAGUUGCAUGAGGCAGAUGAUAACUGCCCGUUCAUAUGUGCGUAUAUAAUUUUGCCUAGGGAGAAAUAGGCAGGCACUUCUGAAACGAGCCAACAGGUUGCAUUUGAGCAUUCUCCUUGCUUGCAAGUGUUUAUUAAAUUCUAUAUUUCAUUCUCAAAGUGCUUGUCCUGUCUCUUGUCUACUAAAGAGUUAACAUUUUUGCCUGACAACUUGCUUUUUAAUUGCUUUUAUACAGAUAGUUAAAUUCUCUAAGUGCCUGGCCAGCCAUCAAGUGCGAACUUAAACCAAGUUAAUCUUUUGUUAUCUGCCUAUUUCUGAAAAUGUGUUCAGUUUUGUAACAACUGUACUCAACCUCAUGUCAAAUGGGAGUCAGCACACAACUGCCACCAUUUGAAGACGAGCCCCAAAUAAAGGUCAGAUGUUUUAGUAGGCCUUUCCUGGCAUUUUAUUUCCAGUUCAAACACCUUGGUUGAGCUGGUUCUGGAACAAACAAACAAAAAAAAAAACAACAAAAUAAUCUCAGCUCUGCACUUCCUGUGUGAAGUCUGCAUGUUCUCCUCAUGCUUGCAUUUUUAUUUUAUUCCCCCCCUCCAGGUAGGCCGGCUUUAAUCCACAUUCCAAAAACACAUGUCCCACAUGGUGGACUCUGCCUCUUGCCCAAAGUCAGCUGGGAUGGGCUCCAGCUCACCCACAACCCGAAUGAAGAUAAGCAGUGGAGAAAAUGGAUGGACAAGAGCCUCGGUAAAAUGUUUGAAUACUUUCUGCUCUCUAAAUAAUUGGCAGAGCUUCUAGAGGAGAGGGUUACCAUUUCAGUAAUAAUUUCAUCCCUACCAAGAACAAAUACUGCCUCCGUGAGUGGCUUUUGGGAGUAGAUUCCUUUGAAAACCUGAUUGUGGUUUAUCCUGGAGAGAAACACAUCACUGAACACCUUCCAACCGGACCGCAUCAGUUUUAAGCAAUGAGCCUCAAAAGGAGUGCCAAGAAAGAAGAAAGCAGAGAAUUUCUUGGGAAAACACGGGAAACAGGAGAGGACGUCGCAAUGAAGUCAUCGUGACCAAGAUGCAACGAGGUCAUUGCGGUCUUUAGGAAGUUGUUAGCAAAUUAUAGGAAAACAUGCACUCGGUUUAGUUCAUGGGCACUUUGUUCUUGAGGCUGAAGGACGACAACUGAUUUAAAGACUUCCCGAGGACACUGUUUCCUUUCUUUUUUUUUUUUAUUUUGAAUGAAGUCACGGUCUUCUUUUGGGAUGAUUAUCAGCCUGGUUGAGAGAUUGUCGCAUUACAUUGAAUUAUACUCAAGACUAAGAACAGACACAUUGUGGAUGAUGUUACACUUCGUACCCUAAAACCAGCCCCCCAAAAAACAAACAAAACAAAAACAAGCUGUAAAGUGCUGUACUGUUGUUUUUUUCCUAGCAAUACCGCCACCGCACAAAAGCCAAAAAUUCAUUGGUCAUGGAGUCUUGUCGUGGUGACAAUAUAGUAGGAUUUUGC